rnacentral:ncRNA from 17 species
CUCUUAUCCGGAGUGGCGGAGGGACUGGCCCUAUGAAGCCCGGCAACCUUUGGGUAUAUAGGCGUACCCAAAAAGGUGCUAAUUCCUGCAGGAGAUUUAUCUUCUGACAGAUAAGGG